rnacentral:lncRNA from 1 species
CUCUUUCUGUCUCCGAACUGUAAGUGUAGUCUUGUGUGCUUAGUCUCAUUUUAAAUACUGAGAUGGAUGUUUUCUCUGAAGUUUUGGUUCAAAGAAGCAUUUUUGUCCUAAAGAUUUUCAAGAAAUAAAUUUGUUACCGAUGAUUACCACUUUUCAGAAGGUUGUUUAUGGAAGACUUUUCUCUUGAUGUUUUUUUAAAAAUCCAGGAAGCUACCGUGAUUUCCUUGAAAUUGAUGUUUGAUACUCUACCACAGGAAGUAACUAAUGCUAGUUUGAAAGAAUAUACCUAGCAGCAGAAUACCGAUUAUGACUUUACAGCUUGAUACUCUACUGCUGAAAGUUACUUAUGCUGGAUUAAAAGAAUAUACCUUGCAGCAGAAUAUUGAUUAUUACUUUAAAGUUUAGUGAUUGGCUUUGUACUGGACACUUCAACGGACACUGUACUGGACACUUUAACACUUUGCCAAGAGCUCCAUUUCUGACCUAUUUUCCAUGAGAAACAUUUGUGCCAAGAUGUCCUCAAUUACUAACACAGUUGCCAAGAUAACCAUGUGUGCAAGGAUUACUGACUUAGUUGCCAAGAUGAUCCCAAUAAAUGACCUAGUUGCCAUGAAGACCAUGUGUGGCAAGAUGACUUACUUAAGUUUCCUAGUUGUCAUGACCUAACUGUAGAGUUAAACCAACUUUAUUUCUUCAGCUCAAGGUUUAUUUUUAUGUUCUCCUCUAAUAUGAAAAUUCCACACUUGUAUUUUAUGAAUAUUGUAAUUUAGUUUUUUCUCCUAAAAAUUAAGCAACAUACUUUUCAAUGAAACUUAAGAAAUCUAAAUCCAUAUUUUGAAAUGCCUUGCAUGCAAUUUAAGAGUACUCAGUAUUAAAGUAAAUUUAUUUCUAAUAUUUUCUUAAAUACGAAAAAUAAUUAAUCUUAUUAAUCUAAUGUUUAUUCUAUUCAACAUUUUAUUCAUGGAUUAUUUUAAUAGUCAAUUAUUUAUUCAUUAAAUAUCAUAAAUUAAAUUUAAAGUCUUAGAUAACGUUCAUCUAAUUUGCGUACACUAAAUACUUAUUGAUCCUGCUUAGUGUGUGUACGUACAAUUGCGUGUCAAAACGUUUUAAGACUAGCUUAUUGUUAGCUACUGCUCUUUAUAAAUUAUGACUUAAUGACUCAAAAAUAAACCUAGAAUAUUUAUGAGAAUUAACUUUCAACGAAUAAAAACUAAUUUCGAUUUAUUUGUUUUUUCUUCAAACUGUUGUCCAGUACAAGAGCUAAAAUGUAAAGUUGUAAUUUUAAAAAUUGAUUCCUUGAGAGUGCCAGUUUAAAUUUGAAAUGAAAAUUAAAUUACGGCAAUUAAACUAAAUUACUUGGCUUUCGAUUCUCAAACAAAACAUAUUUAAAUUAAGAAAGCUUAAUAUAAAAUUUUAUUAUGGUAUAAUACUAAUUAUAUAUUUUUCAAUAAAUCUCCACCAAAUUUUCAGAUGCGUGAUUGUUAUCGCAAUAUGUGAGAAUCAGUUGAAGUAAAUGUGCUAGUUUCAAAAUAAUAUCUCCGAUUUAAAAUACACGUAAUAUAAGUUUAGGCCAAACUUUAAAACAAAUGAUUUAAUAAGAUUUAUAUCGAAUCUAUGAGUGAUCGCACAACUUUGUCGGCUAUUAAAAUAUACUAAAUAAACUCUUAAACUUAUUUCAAUGUAAAAUUCAAGAGUACAGGGAAAAACCGGAAUAGUUUAUUGAAUACACAAUCUUUAAAAUUAGAAAGUUGAAAAGUAUUUGAGGUAUCGAGAUGCUUGGAAACCAAAGAACUAGAACAUACAAUAUCGCAUAUUUAGGGUUACCUAAAUAAAACGCACGGUAUUAAUAAAAUACUUUUUAAUAAAUCCCGCCUCGUCAGUAGUGUACUGUUAUUCAGCACAAAUUUUAAUAUUUAAGGUAACACAUUCUGUUCCAAAUAAAAAUUUUUAACGGACAAUUCAGAAUCUGUUUGUGUAAUUACAGCUUACAUUAUUUAAAACACUUAAAGCUCACGACUAGCUAUCACGUGUCAUAGCACUACAUUUUAACGUUUCUUUUCGCCUUAUAGUGAACUUUAAUAAAAACAUUAAAUGCUGUAUAUUUGACAUGUUAAUACUUCACAAUUUAGUCUGUCGUCGUAUUUUUAUGUACGUAUUUAUAAAUAUAAAUUCCUCUAAACAAAGAAAUUAAUAAUUUGUCAAGCAUUUAUGUAGUAUAUAUGGGCAAUAACAAUUAUACGUAUUCUAUUAAAAAAAUUAAUGUACUCUAUAUCAAAUAGAAGUCUAAGAACGAAACUGUUAAAAAAAAUUU